GAUUAACGCUGGCGGCGUGCAUAACACAUGCAAGUCGAACGAUGAAACUUAGUAGACUUCUUCUGAUAGACACUAAGCGGAUUAGUGGCGAACGGGUGAGUAACGCGUGAGUAACCUGCCUUACACAAGGGGAUAGCCUUACGCUACGAAGAAAAAUACCCUAUAAAACCAUACAAGCACAUGUUAGAACUGUCAAAGUGGUAGCAGCGUAAGUGGGACUUGCGGCUUGUCAGCGAGUUGGUGAGAUAAAAGGUCACCAAGGCAGCGAUCAGUAGCCGGCUUGAGAGAGUGGACGGCACCCUUGGGACUGGGACACGGCCCAGACUCCGGCGGAAGGGAGCAGGGGGGAAUUUUGCACAAUGGGGGAGACACUGAUGCAGCGGCGCCGCGUGAUUCAGAAGGCGUGCGAGUUGUAAAAAUCUUUUGUAUAGGAAGAAAAUGACAGUACUAAACGAAUAAGGUCCGGCUAAUUACGUG
rnacentral:rRNA from 1 species